rnacentral:rRNA from 1 species
AUUGAACGCUGGCGGUAUGCUUUACACAUGCAAGUCGAACGGGCUUGAGGGGCUUGCUCCUCAAGUUAGUGGCGAACGGGUGAGUAACAUAUCGGAACAUGUCCGGAAGUGGGGGAUAACGUAGCGAAAGUUACGCUAAUACCGCAUAUGACCUGAGGGGGAAAGGGGGGGAUCGCAAGACCUCUCGCUUUCGGAGUGGCCGAUAUCAGAUUAGCUAGUUGGUGAGGUAAAGGCUCACCAGGGCGACGAUCUGUAGCUGGUCUGAGAGGACGACCAGCCACACUGGAACCGAGACACGGUCCAGACUCCUACGGGAGGCAGCAGUGGGGAAUUUUGGACAAUGGGCGCAAGCCUGAUCCAGCCAUACCGCGUGAGUGAAGAAGGCCUUCGGGUUGUAAAGCUCUUUCAGCCGGAAAGAAAUCGUGCAAUCUAAUAAAUUGUAUGGAUGACGGUACCGGAAGAAGAAGCACCGGCUAACUACGUGCCAGCCGCCGCCGUAA